rnacentral:rRNA from 1 species
AACGAACGCUGACGGCGUGCCUAACACAUGCAAGUCGAACGAGAAAGUCCCGGCUUGCCGGGAUUAGUAAAGUGGCGCACGGGUGAGUAACGCGUGGGUAAUCUGCCUUUAAGUUCGGGAUAACACUGCGAAAGCGGUGCUAAUACCGGAUAUGCUUACGGUUUGAAAUGUCCGUGAGAAAAGAUGGCCUCUGACAUAAGCUAUCGCUUGAAGAUGAGCCCGCGUACCAUUAGCUUGUUGGUGGGGUAAUGGCCUACCAAGGCUACGAUGGUUAGCUGGCCUGAGAGGGCGGCCAGCCACACUGGAACUGAGACACGGUCCAGACUCCUACGGGAGGCAGCAGUGGGGAAUAUUGCGCAAUGGGGGAAACCCUGACGCAGCGACGCCGUGUGAGUGAUGAAGGCUUUCGGGUCGUAAAGCUCUGUCGGAUGGGACGAAUAAGGGCUGUGUGAAUAAUGCAGUCCGAUGACGGUACCGUCGAAGGAAGCACCGGCUAACUCCGUGCCAGCCGCCGCUGUAAAAC